ACCCGGCUGGCGCAAUGGUAGCGCGUCAGACUUCUAAUUCCCUCUGAAAUUGAUAUCUGAAGGUUGUGGGUUCGACCCCCACGUUGGGUU